UACGUAGGGGGGCAAGCGUUGUCCGGAUUUAUUGGGCGUAAAGAGCGUGUAGGCGGCUUCACAGGUCCGCUGUGAAAACUCGAGGCUCAACCUCGAGACGUCGGUUGAAACCGUGUGGCUAGAGUCCGGAAGAGGAGAGUGGAAUUCCCGGUGUAGCGGUGAAAUGCGCAGAUAUCGGGAAGAACACCCGUGGCGAAGGCGGCUCUCUGGGACGGUACUGACGCUGAGACGCGAAAGCGUGGGGAGCGAACAGG
rnacentral:rRNA from 1 species